UUGACCUCGGAUCAGGUAGGGAUACCCGCUGACUUA
rnacentral:rRNA from 1 species